CAUCAUAAUUGUACGAGUGGAGAAAUAACCAUUUUACAUCUAAACCGACUGGGACACCCUUAACCUUUUCUUCUCUUUAUCUCUAUCCUUCUUCUUCAUUCUUCUUCUCUGUUUUUCCUCUCUUUCUCUCUCUCGAUCUUAGCUCACAAGAACUGAGUUCUUUUAUGUGUCAGUUUUCCAUAGAGAGUUAGAUAGCCUGAUGAGUCAAUGAAGAUGAUGUUAUAACUGAGAUUUUUGGAGUUCCAGGAGAAGAAGAAGGUGACGGUGUUAAAUUGAAGUUAGGGUUCGUGUAGAAUUCAUGAUGAUAUAGUGUUAUUAAUGGAUGAAGAGAAGAGGGGUUGCUGUUGAAUUGAUGUGAUAAAGCUGUUCUACUGUGGAAUCGAAAAAAGAAGAGACAGAUUCGAGAUGUGCAUGUGGCGAUAAAAGCUUCGAGGAGUUGGUUGCGUUAGUUGGUUAGCUUCCGCUAUGUUUAUUUUUGUGUUUAUAUCAAAAUUGUAAACAACCUCAUUAUCAUAUAUGUAUCAUCUGAUAUGAGUUCUUGUAUUUAUUUCAGAGCGGAUUUAGAUUUGGAUUAAUCUUUGUUUAGAACUUCUUUCUUAUUGUUUAAAUAGACGUUUUGGAUUCUUAGGGCC